rnacentral:rRNA from 1 species
AUUGAACGCUGGCGGCAGGCCUAACACAUGCAAGUCGAACGGUAACAGGAAGAAGCUUGCUUCUUUGCUGACGAGUGGCGGACGGGUGAGUAAUGUCUGGGAAACUGCCUGAUGGAGGGGGAUAACUACUGGAAACGGUAGCUAAUACCGCAUAACGUCGCAAGACCAAAGAGGGGGACCUUCGGGCCUCUUGCCAUCGGCUGUGCCCAGAUGGGAUUAGCUAGUAGGUGGGGUAACGGCUCACCUAGGCGACGAUCCCUAGCUGGUCUGAGAGGAUGACCAGCCACACUGGAACUGAGACACGGUCCAGACUCCUACGGGAGGCAGCAGUGGGGAAUAUUGCACAAUGGGCGCAAGCCUGAUGCAGCCAUGCCGCGUGUAUGAAGAAGGCCUUCGGGUUGUAAAGUACUUUCAGCGGGGAGGAAGGGAGUAAAGUUAAUACCUUUGCUCAUUGACGGUACCCGCAGAAGAAGCACCGGCUAACUCCGUG